rnacentral:rRNA from 1 species
GACGAACGCUGGCGGCGUGCUUAACACAUGCAAGUCGAACGGAAAGGCCCUGCUUUUGUGGGGUGCUCGAGUGGCGAACGGGUGAGUAACACGUGAGUAACCUGCCCUUGACUUUGGGAUAACUUCAGGAAACUGGGGCUAAUACCGGAUAGGAGCUCCUGCUGCAUGGGGGGGGUUGGAAAGUUUCGGCGGUUGGGGAUGGACUCGCGGCUUAUCAGCUUGUUGGUGGGGUAGUGGCUUACCAAGGCUUUGACGGGUAGCCGGCCUGAGAGGGUGACCGGCCACAUUGGGACUGAGAUACGGCCCAGACUCCUACGGGAGGCAGCAGUGGGGAAUAUUGCACAAUGGGCGGAAGCCUGAUGCAGCAACGCCGCGUGCGGGAUGACGGCCUUCGGGUUGUAAACCGCUUCCGCCUGUGACGAAGCGUGAGUGACGGUAAUGGGUAAAGAAGCACCGGCUAACUACGUG